UCCCAGGUAGCUCAGCUGGUAAAGAAUCUGCCUGCAAUGCAGGGCACCCUGGUUUAAUUCCUGGGUUGGGAA
rnacentral:tRNA from 1 species